rnacentral:rRNA from 1 species
UACGUAGGGUGCAAGCGUUGUUCGGAAUUACUGGGCGUAAAGGGCGCGUAGGCGGGCGGUCAAGUCUGUGGUGAAAUCCUUCGGCUCAACCGGAGAAUAGCUGGAGAUACUGGCCGUCUCGAGGGGGGUAGGGGCAUGUGGAACUUCCGGUGGAGCGGUGAAAUGCGUAGAUAUCGGAAGGAACGCCGGUGGCGAAAGCGACGUGCUGGACCCUUUCUGACGCUGAGGCGCGAAAGCCAGGGGAGCAAACGGG